AUGUACCAGGUGAUCCCCUACAGUGCCGGCUGACUGCCGGCGUGCCCGCGGCGGUCCAAGCAGGUCGAGGCCGAGGGCGCGGCUGGCCACAGGAGAGCGGGCUCGCGGCUCGCCGACGCGGCGGCGAGGGGUGACGGCGGGGAGGCGGUGAGGAGGGUGGUGGCAGAGAGCCUGGUGCUAGUGGUGGGGAGGCGCGGGUGCUGCCUCAGCCACGUGGUGAAGCGGCUGGUGCAGGGGCUCGGGGUGAACCCCGCCAUGCACGAGGUCACCGACGACGCCGAGCUCGCCGCGGCGGUGGCCGGGAAUGCUGCGAGGCUAGCGGUGUUCGUCGGUGGGAGGAUCCUCGGUGGGCUCGGUCGGCUCAUGGCCAUGCACAUCUCCGGCGAGCUUGUGGCCAUACUCAAGGACGCCAGCGCGCUCUGGCUGUGA
rnacentral:rRNA from 1 species